GGCUGGUUUGAAGGUAAUGAGUUAUGUCAAUUCAUUGUUCAUAGUCAAACUCCUUGUUCAACCCUUUUUCCUCUUCUCACUACUGCACCUGACUAGUCUUUA
rfam:Callithrix jacchus chromosome 3, whole genome shotgun sequence